AUGGUCCCUCCCCUCAGCCACACCUCUCCUUCUGGCUCUUCCAUGGUCCCUCCCCUCAGCCUCAUCUCUCCUUCUGGCUCUUUGUCUUUGUCUUCCUCUUCAUCACUUUCCAUUUCCCUUUUAUCCCCCCACCUUACUCCUCCCUCCUCUGUUUUUCCUCAUCACCUCAUUUUCACAUCUUUGUUUGCUCUCUCUCUCUCUCUCUCUCUCCCUUCCUUCCUGUCUCUCUCUCUCUCUCUCUCCCUUCCUUCCUCUCUCUCUCUCUCUCUCUCUCUCUCUCUCUCUCUCUCUCUCUCUCUCUCUCUCUCCCUUCCUUCCUGUCUCUCUCUCUCUCUCUCUCUCUCUCUCUCUCUCUCUCUCUCCCUUCCUUCCUGUCUCUCUCUCUCUCUCCCUUCCUUCCUGUCUCUCUCUCUCUCUCUCUCUCUCCCUUCCUUCCUGUCUCUCUCCCUCUCUCUCUCUCUCUCUCUCUCUCUCUCUCUCUCUCUCUCUCUCUCUCUCUCUCUCUCUCUCUCUCCUCCCUUCCUCCUGUCUCUCUCUCUCUCUCUCUCUCCCUUCCUUCCUGUCUCUCUCUCUCUCUCUCUCUUUCUCUCUCUCUCCCUUCCUCCUGUCUCUCUCUCUCUCUCUCCCUUCCUUCCUCUCUCUCUCUCUCUCUCUCUCUCUCUCUCUCUCUCUCUCUCUCUCUCUCUCCCUUCCUUCCUGUCUCUCUCUCUCUCUCCCUUCCUCCUGUCUCUCUCUCUCUCUCUCCCUUCCUUCCUCUCUCUCUCUCUCUCUCUCUCUCUCCCUUCCUUCCUCCCCCCUCUCUCUCUCUCUCUCUCUCCCUUCCUUCCUGUCUCUUUCUCUCUCUCUCUCUCUCCCUUCCUUCCUCCUCUCUCUAUCUCUCUCCCUCUCUCUCUAUCUCUCUCUCUCUCUCUCUGUCUCUCUCUGUCUCCCUUCCUUCCUGCCUUCCUUCCUUCCUUCCUGCCUUCCUGCCUUCCUCCCCUCCCCCCCUCUCUCUCUGUGUGUAUUCUAGCCACGUUGUCAGUUUAUCAAAGCAGACAAGCCCAUUAUGUUUUUAUAAGCCCAACCACUUUCCCCUUUCCAUUUAGACCCUGUCCUCUCUCCCUCCCCUCCACCCUCCCCUCCACUCCUACUGCGCUCCUCCUCUCCCUCCCUCUCUCCCUCCCCUCCCUCCCCUCCACCCUCCCUCCCUCCCCUCCACCCCUACUGCGCUCCUCCUCUCUCUCCCUCUCUCCCUCCCCUCCACCCUCCCUCCCUCCC
rnacentral:lncRNA from 1 species